AGAGUUUGAUCCUGGCUCAGGAUGAACGCUAGCUACAGGCUUAACACAUGCAAGUCGAGGGGCAGCAUUUCAGUUUGCUUGCAAACUGGAGAUGGCGACCGGCGCACGGGUGAGUAACACGUAUCCAACCUGCCGAUAACUCGGGGAUAGCCUUUCGAAAGAAAGAUUAAUACCCGAUGGUAUAAUUAGACCGCAUGGUCUUGUUAUUAAAGAAUUUCGGUUAUCGAUGGGGAUGCGUUCCAUUAGGCAGUUGGUGAGGUAACGGCUCACCAAACCUUCGAUGGAUAGGGGUUCUGAGAGGAAGGUCCCCCACAUUGGAACUGAGACACGGUCCAAACUCCUACGGGAGGCAGCAGUGAGGAAUAUUGGUCAAUGGGCGCAGGCCUGAACCAGCCAAGUAGCGUGAAGGAUGACUGCCCUAUGGGUUGUAAACUUCUUUUAUAUGGGAAUAAAGUUUUCCACGUGUGGAAUUUUGUAUGUACCAUAUGAAUAAG
rnacentral:rRNA from 1 species